GGCUAUAUAAUGUAGUGGUAGCAUAUCAAGGUUCCAUUAGCAACCUUAGUUGGAGUAGUUCGAUUCCAUUUAUAGUCG